UCCACGCCCUAAACGAUGUUCACUAGUCGUCGGAAUGCUAGUCAUUUCGGUGAUGCACUUAACAGAUUAAGUGAACCGCCUGGGGAGUACGGUCGCAAGAUUAAAACUCAAAGGAAUAGGACGGGGACCCGCACAAGAGGUGGAGCGAAUCACACAAAGUACGUCGUAGUCCGGAUCGGAGUCUGCAACUCGACUCCGUGAAGUCGGAAUCGCUAGUAAUCGUAGAUCAGGAUGCUACGGUGAAUACCGGUUCCCGGGCCUUG
rnacentral:rRNA from 1 species